rnacentral:rRNA from 1 species
GACGAACGCUGGCGGCGUGCUUAACACAUGCAAGUCGAACGGAAAGGCCCUGCUUUUGUGGGGUGCUCGAGUGGCGAACGGGUGAGUAACACGUGAGUAACCUGCCCUUGACUUUGGGAUAACUUCAGGAAACUGGGGCUAAUACCGGAUAGGAGCUCCUGCUGCAUGGUGGGGGUUGGAAAGUUUCGGCGGUUGGGGAUGGACUCGCGGCUUAUCAGCUUGUUGGUGGGGUAGCGGCUUACCAAGGCUUUGACGGGUAGCCGGCCUGAGAGGGUGAACGGCCACAUUGGGACUAAGAUACGGCGCAGACUCCUACGGGAGGCAGCAGUGGGGAAUCUGACGCAAUGGGCGGAAGCCUGAUGCAGCGACGCCGCGUGCGGGAUGACGGCCUUCGGGUUAUAAACCGCUUUCGCCUGUGACGAAGCGUGAGUGACGGUAAUGGGUAAAGAAGCACCGGCUAACUACGUG